rnacentral:lncRNA from 1 species
CGUUUAAGCGCCGUUGUGAGUGACUCUGAUAACUUCAUUUUGGCAUGGUGAAAAAAAAGACCCCCGCUGCAAAGUUCCGUGCAUGCGUGCGCUACGUCUGCUUACAGUAUGCAUGCAAUGGAUUGGAGUGCAGACUGCAGUCUAGGAGAGGGCAGUGCCCAGGCCAGAUAUGCCCAUAACCGCUCAAGGUUCCUUCCCGACCGCUCUUCGAGCAGCGUCCCCGCCUGGAGUCACUCUGGUCCCUUCCGUGAGUAAACUAAGCGCUCCGCUCACCUGUCUCUCUGGGGGCCACAAACUCAUUCACCGACCGGUGCAAAGAAGAGGGAGGGGCAAGGAAGGAGAAAAACGCGCGCGAGCCUCUAACUCAAACUGUUCGCCCUCGAACUCUCGUUGGAGUCCCGACUCUCAAGCGGGGAAGAAGAUUCCUCCCCCUUUCAAUUUCUGCACAUGGUUUGUUCCACACUGCUUCGAGAGUUUUGGAUUUGUGAAAGAACAGUGAAGAUGGAGGAGCUUCGCCAUCUGCUGUUUGGAGGCUAAUACAGGCGUANGGCGCUGUGAUGAUACCUUUAGUUAUAGAUUAUAAUGUAAUUUAAGGGAUUGCAGGAGAGUAUGAUUUAUUACAGUUUACCCAGGCAAAGAGACGGAAAGCAGUUGAGGCAAAGGAGAAAAAAGUGGUGAAGGAGAGCAAUGGACAGAGCUGUGUUGUGUAGGAGUACAUUUUCAUAGUGCUUAUCACAUACACACGUUUGCUGGCCAACACUAAAGCUGGAGUUGAUAGUGAAAACAAAGGUGUCAGAAGCAAGUAGAACGCCUCGUGAAGCGGUGCCAAUGCACUUUCCCUAAAAUCUUACAGAAAAAAAGCUUCGAUGCCUGUGAAUGGUGCAGGGAAUGUGAUUAUAGCUGUUUUAUAUUGGGAGUUGACCUAUGCAAUUCCUGGGCUCUGGGCAAAUGGGACCAGCCUCUGUCAACCUACUCAGACUCUCUCUCUGUAACACUGAAUAAAUUACUCCAAGGAAACUUCA